GAGGCCAGGAAGGCUGCCGGGGAGGUGGAAGACGAGGGUACCGAAGAGCUGGGGGCCGACGCGGAGACCCAACCCAGCAGCACUAGCGCCAGCCUUGCCAACCUCAGCCGUCCGUCCCCGGCGGAGGGGCCCCGGGAGCCCGCCCCAGGCAUCGCGGCUCGCGGUUCCCCGGAGCUGGGACAGCGCCCGCUCCGAAGACUCGACCGCCUGGGCCCGGCGGGCGCGAGCCGGCCGCAGGCGUCGACGGCAAACUUUCCUCGCGUGGGAGCAGAGGAGGGGACGCCAAAAGCUGGAACUUGGCUAACCCCGAGCCACCGGGCGUCCCCCUCCCGGAGCGGCACCCCGCCCUUCCCUCCAGUGAGUACGCACGGCGGGUCGGGACACGGGCCUUGGCGCUCCUCCUCCCGCCGCAGCUGGGGUGGGUGGCACCUCCUCAACUCCUUUGUUGGCGCCUCUCUCAGGGCAGGAUCGGAUGAGCGACCUGGGACAAGCGGGAGAGAAGCGUGAGGAGGAGUGACGGCCGCAGCUCCCAGAGUACGAACCAAGUUGUCCCCACACUAGCAACCCGGCCCAAGCUUCUGUGUGCGUCCGUCCUCCCUAGUGGGACGCGGUCCCCACUCCCAGGCGCUAAGCCUACCUCUUCCGGGCCCACACCAUCAGGACCCGGGCCACCUCCCGCCUGGCUCCUGCCCGGAUUGCCCUCCUCCCGCCUAGAACUUCACGCAGACCCCGCGGUGCCCAGCGAGCAAACUUCUCCCUUUUCCGGAUCCCAGCUCCCCGCCCCGGCCGACCACCUGCCUUCCGGGGUCCCCGCCCCCGCCGCUCCUCCCCCUCCCACGUUGGGAUGAGAGCGAAGUUUCGGGUUACGGGACUCUUUCGAGCUUUUUUUUUUUUUUGGUACCUCCUUGGAUUAGUGUGAAAAGGGGAGCAGAGCCGUACAGCUGUCGCCUACUCUCGACUCCCCAGUUCCUGGCCACCCAGCUCCCCGAUCCCGAGAGGAUCCAGACAUCUCCAGAAAAACGGAGGGAACCCGCCAACAAAGCGGCCGUGGGACCGUGGGCGGUGUGGCAGCCAGGACCCCCCCCCCCCCCCCCGGCUCUCUUCACGCCCUAGUAUAGAAAGGAACCCUGGUCCCGCCUCCAGGCUCCAAGCCUGGCCGCUCGGUCCCCACUGCUCACCUCCGCACCCCGCGCCUGCAAAGCCAACUCCGAGGGCCACCCGAGUCCACGCACCUUCCCAGCUCCUGCUGCGGGCGCCGACUCUCCUCUCACCCCAGCCCCUGGCCCAACCUCCACGGCUGGGAAAAACCAAGCCGGGGGGCGGGGGAGGGCCAGGGCUGCAGGAGAGAUCGCCGCCGCGCUGGCCACCUCUGCUGCCCCAGGUGGAAGCAGAAGGAGCAGAAGUUCCAGCUCACCUUCGGCUACAAGAUGACUUUGAGAUGGCCUGGAGAAAGACCCUGUCUUGAAACAAUCCCAGAAAGAAGAGCAGGCUGAGCCAUUGUCAAGCCAGCUCAUCAGACAGAUCACUGGAAGAAAAAAACCUGACAAGACGCUGCAAGAAAAGGAAACCACAGAGCGGAACCACGUAUGAUUGUAGAUGUAACAUCCUUCCGCUAAAUUAAACCUAAUCAAACCCAGAGACAAGCAAAAAUGACUGUAAUCCAUGACUACGCAGGAUUCACAUCUAGGAAUACAAGGAUGCUUAAAUGAAAAGAAAUUGACUGUGGCAAUACAAAUUACCAAUGGAAACAAAAAAAAAAAAACAAACAAACAGACAGAAACAAAAUAUGGCCAUACCAUCUGAUGUGGUAGAGUAUUUAGCAAUAUUCACCAUCCAGUCUGAUAAAAGAAACAACCUACCUAAUAUAAAUGAAAGAAGUCCCUAUUCUGGUUAAGAGUACCAGAAACCAAACUAAUACCACAAAGAGCACACCUACAAUGGCAUGUAAUGGCAGGAGAUAUGAUUUCCUGUUAUAUUGAUGAUGCACAGGGGAAAAUAUGCUGCAGCCUUAAACAUUCAUAAAAUGAAAAGUUAUAUUUUUAAUUUCUUGCGAUUUUUUUUUACAUAAUAAAAAGUCACAUUGUCAGAGAAUAGAGUUGGUCUGUCUCCUCCUGCCUAGUCUGACUGCCUCAUGUUCUUGCCUGAUUGUUUUAUGUGGCGUGCCCAAUACAAUCUUGAAAAAGAGCUAGGUAAGAGCAGACAUCCUUGUUUUGGUAUUUACUAUCAUGUGAAACCAUUCUGUCUUUAAGCAUUAAAUGUUAUCUUAGCUGUGGAGUUUUACUUCUUGCUGCUAUUACUGUUUUUGUAUAUAUCAAUUUAAUAGAAUUUCAUUGACACACU
ensembl:processed_transcript 9330154J02Rik RIKEN cDNA 9330154J02 gene